AGCCGCCGCGGUAACACCAGCGCCACAAGUGGCAACCACGUUUAUUGGGCCUAAAGCGUCCGUAGCCGGUUAAAUAAAUCUUUUGUGAAAUCGUCAAGCUCAACUUGACGGCGUGCAGAAGACACUAUUUAACUCGAGACCGGGAGGAGUCAGAGGUAUUCCUGAGGGAGCGGUAAAAUGUGAUAAUCUCAGGAGGAUCACCUAUGGCGAAGGCAUCUGACCAGAACGGAUCUGACGGUGAGGGACGAAGGCUGGGGGAGCGAUCCGGAUUAGAUACCCGAGUAGUCCCAGCAGUAAACUCUGCUAGCAAGGUGUUGCAUAUUCUUGAGAAUGUGCAGUGUCGAAACGAAGGUGUUAAGCUAGCCGCCUGGGAAGUACGGUCGCAAGACUGAAACUUUAAGGAAUUGGCGGGGGAGCACCACAAGGGGUGCGGCGUGCGGUUUAAUCUAACUCAAUGCAGAGAACCUUACUAGAAGCGACGGCAGGAAGACAGCCUGGCUGAAGACCAUGCUUGACGAGCCGAGAGGUAGUGCAUGGCCGCCGUCAGCUCGUGCCGUAAGGUGUCCAGUUAAGUCUGGCAACGAGCGAGACCUAUACCCUCUAUUGCUAACAGCAACAUGUUGGACUGAGUACUUUGAGGGGACUGCCUUGGAAACAAGGAGGAAGGUGUAGGCAACGGUAGGUCUGUAUGCUCCGAAUCUUCUAGGCUACACGCGCGCAACAAUGGUAAUGACAAUGGGUCGCAACUCCGAAAGGAGAAGCUAAUCCUCCAAACAUUACCUCAGUUCGGAUCGUGGAUUGUAACUCAUCCACGUGACGCCGGAAUCCCUAGUAAUCAGGCGUCAUCAUCGUCUGGUGAAUAUGUCCCUGCUCCU
rnacentral:rRNA from 1 species